AGUCAAUGCUCGCAAGAGUGAACUAGCUAACUGAAAUCAUAUGACUCAUUAAUAUGGUGAUUAUGAUAACAUAAGGGAAAAAAAUGAUAUUACCUUAUUAUUAGUGUUGUCCAAAACUGGUGCCAGAAGACUCGGUAAGACCAGAGACGCAAACGUUAGUCAUCUUAAUCAGGCGUAAAGGGUUUGUAGGCUGCUUUAAAGUUUUAAAUCUUUGUAAUAGCUCUUUUACCGUAAUACUAUAUUUAUUUAUUUGAUAUGAGAAUAAACUAAAAUAUAGUAUAUAAAAUUUAUUAUCUAAAAUAAAAAAAUGAUAUUAAAUAAAUAUCCGUGUAUUAGUAAAGAAAUAAAAAAAUUAAAGCUAGGAUCAAAUUGAGGAUAAACCAAAUAAUACUUAGAGUAGGGCUUAUAUCCGUAGAUACUAAGGGGAAUACUAAAGGUGAAAACUUUUUAUCUACUAUUGAUUGACGCUGAGAAACGAAGGUGAGAAUAGGAAAUAGGAUUAGAUACCCAGAUACCUCUCACUGUCAACGAUGAAUGGUGGUUUGUUAGUUUUAAUAAAAACUGGUAACGAUGUUAACACGAUAACCAUUCCGCCUUGCGAGUACGGUUGCAAAA
rnacentral:rRNA from 1 species